GAUGAACGCUGGCGGCGUGCCUAAUACAUGCAAGUCGAGCGAAUGGAUUAAGAGCUUGCUCUUAUGAAGUUAGCGGCGGACGGGUGAGUAACACGUGGGUAACCUGCCCAUAAGACUGGGAUAACUCCGGGAAACCGGGGCUAAUACCGGAUAACAUUUUGAACCGCAUGGUUCGAAAUUGAAAGGCGGCUUCGGCUUUCACUUAUGGAUGGAACCCCGUCGCAUUAGCUUGUGGGUGAGGUAACGGCUCACCAAGGCAACGAUGCGUAGCCGACCUGGGAGGGUGAUCGGCCACACUGGGACUGAGACACGGCCCAGACUCCUACGGGAGGCAGCAGUAGGGAAUCUUCCGCAACGGACGAAAGUCUGACGGAGCAACGCCGCGUGAGUGGUGAAGGCUUUCGGGUCGUAAAACUCUGUUGUUAGGGAAGAACAAGUGCUAGUUGAAUAAGCUGGCACCUUGACGGUACCUAACCAGAAAGCCACGGCUAACUACGUGCCAGCCGCCGCUGUAA
rnacentral:rRNA from 1 species